UGAAAUAUGUGUGAAAGUGUUUUACCUCAAGAGUGUUUUAAUAAGCUUUGUAAUGUAGAGAUUCAGAUGUGAUACAAUGCAAAUCAUUGUAAAGAAAAUGUGUGUAUUACUUUGUUCAAUAUAUUAAAUGUUAAAUAGUGUUUUAGUCUAUGUAUUGUUUAUUCAGAUAAUCUAUGGUGUUGCCAUAUAGGCAGUUGGGAUCCACACCCUUGUAUCACCCACAGGGGUGUAUGAUAUAUAGAUCCUUGAUCACACUCAACGCAUCGCAAUAAAGACCUCAACCCCGUA